GGUUGCCUAGGUACCGUAAAUGAACGAGUGUGUUUGACGUAAACAAAGCUGGUUUGUCAGCGGCUGGUUUGUCGCGUAUCUUGUUGACUUGUGAUCUGCCAAUUUCGCGCGAGAUGACAUCGCUCGAUUUGCGACAGCAGAAGCUGGAGCAGCAGAGACAGUUAAUUGCGCAAAAGAUGAAACAGAAAAGGCAAACUGGUGCAAGUGGAAUGGUCCAGGCAUCUAAUGUAUCCAGUGCACAACUUACGAGUCAUUCCAAUAGGUGGAUGAAUCCAAACAAGGAACUUCAUGCGUAUGAUGGCCCAUUACAAUAUACUAUGUCUCAAACAAAUACAGAUAUAGGCCCAUAUACAGAGAGAAAAACUAGUGAAGGGACAAUUAAUGCAGUGGUCAAUGAAAGAAGUCUAUAUGAAAGUUUUCAAAGUGUUGAUUGUGCUGACGAAGAAUCAUCACCCAUAGAAUUCCAUUCACCUUCAGAAUCUCUACCACGUUCCUCGCCCCUUCGAGUGGCACCAUCGGAAGGAACUAGUACUCUUAUUAAUAGAGAUGAUAAUUCUUCCAGUCCAGAAUUGGAAGGAAAUGUUGAAGGUAACAUUGAACAAUUCGUGUUACAACCAGCAAAUAAGAAAAUGUAUUAUAAAUGUCGAAUAACGCGCGAUCGAAAAGGAAUGGACCGUGGUCUUUACCCGACCUACUUCUUGCAUCUAGAACGUGAUUAUGGAAAAAAGAUCUUCCUAUUGGCUGGUCGAAAAAGGAAAAAAAGCGCAACAAGUAAUUAUUUAAUCUCAACCGAUCCUACGGAUCUUUCGAGAGGAGGGGAGUCUUACGUAGGUAAACUUCGAUCAAAUCUUUUGGGAACACAAUUCACAAUUUAUGACAAUGGAUACUCGCUGAUGAAGGAUGACAAACGCGACGAGCGUUUCAAUCCGCGGCAAGAAUUAGCCGCGGUAGUGUAUGACACAAACGUUUUAGGUUUUAAAGGGCCACGUAAAAUGACAGUCAUCAUACCAGGCAUGACGCCCGAUCAAAAGAGAGUGGAGAUAUGUCCGCGAGACGAAUCAGAAACUUUACUUGAACGUUGGAAAUCGAAACAUAUGGACAAUUUAAUAGAAUUACAUAAUAAAACUCCUGUGUGGAACGACGAGUCACAGUCUUAUGUGCUUAAUUUCCAUGGGCGGGUAACUCAAGCAUCUGUAAAAAAUUUUCAAGUUGUCCACGAUAGCGAUGUGAAAUAUGUUGUGAUGCAAUUCGGACGUGUUGCAGAAGAUGUUUUUACAAUGGAUUAUAGAUUUCCCCUUUGUACAGUCCAGGCAUUUGCCAUUGCUCUGAGUAGUUUCGACAGUAAAUUAGCGUGCGAAUAAAAGCGCGAUUGCGUCGAUGUCGUCGAUCGAAUGUAAACUAUCAAUGAUUUGACAAAAACGGAUUAUUACGAAUUUAUUUAAAAGAAAGACACCCUGUCAAGCGGGACGGAGACAAGGGCUGAAGACUGAAUUAUUUCUAUAAAUAUGAUACAUCGGUUUGAGCAGUUUUCGCGUUUGGUCGAAUAAAUCUGA
rnacentral:misc_RNA from 1 species